CCUGCAUGACCGGAGGAAGGUGAACUACAGGUGAUUCACUGGAGGGAAAAGGCUCCACUUAAUCACUAUUGUUUCUGCAAUUUACUGACUCCAGGUGUUUCAGAAGAGUUAUUUUAAAGGAACAGUACAUCCAAAGUACCCUUUGAUUGUGAAGAUCGUGAUUUCAGAGAAGUUAAAACAUGGAACACGAAUCUUUCAGAAUUGUGGAAACAUAGUAGAACAAUCCUUUUACACUGGGAAGGAUGGAAUGAAAGGGGAUGGGAAGGCAUCUCCUGACCACCCAUGACCCACCAGAGACUACACGUGUCAUCUCGUCCAGCUCCCACAUCAGAAGAGGGAUUCAGGCUAAAGACAGCAAGGACCAUGCCUGAGGUGACCCGGCACAGAGCGGAACCCAGACCCAGUGGCUCCUGACAAAGUUGUACUCCCCCCAGACACAGCACUACCUGCUCUGGUCUUUUUUUUAAACUGUGGUUUAAAUAGAACAUAAAAUUUGCCGCUUCAACCAUU